AGAUACGGUUGGACGCGUUUACGUACGUUUCUAGAGAUCCUCCGCGCGCGCGAAGUCUCGUCUCGAGUCUAAAUCCACAUUCGAAUGUGCGAGAAAACAUAGCAAGAUUAAUGAUUUGUGUGACACGAGGGAGAGGGUGCGCAGACCGUCAGCCUGCCUGCCAGGCUGCUCGGCCGCCGACGGCGGCUGCGGCACGGAGCGCCGCAAGGAAACGCAAACUGCGCGGCAAUAGCUUUGCCACUUUUCUCAUAGUACAUUGUCCGUAUUUCUCCGUCACGCAGCAGCAAGCCGUCUUACGAAACUAUUGACCCGAUUCUAUGGAUUCCGCACCACUUUAAGUGACGUCUCUCAAUUGAUCGGUGGGACCGGUCGGGAAAGUAUCUUGGAUCCUUUAUCAAUAUGGCGGAAGAACCCAGCGACUUUGGAGAAUACGAACCAGGCUUGAAGGCGUACCCCGCGGGGUAAGAUGGCUGUGGCCCUGACCACCUGCUGCCUCUUUGAUUCUGCCGCUAGAAUCUCAUUUAGCCGUGUAAUCCCGAUGUUCAUUGACGAUGGAUCACCCCGUCCGCCGAGCAUUCUGUCUGACGCCGCAUUUGGGUAGAGAUAUCGAGAUUGGAGGAAGAACGAGGUGAAGCCAUACCUGUGGAUCGGUACCUCGAAAGUUACGGGGUCCCGCUGCAGUUGAUUAACGAUGUGAGCGUCCAGGUCGAGGUGGGUGGCGCAUGCCUUUGUGACAGCACAGCCGCUCCUCCGCUCCUCGACAUCGCCACCGUUGCUAUCACGGAUUAUUAUAACUCGUACGUUUCAUCUGCCUUCUUCAUCGGCUGUUCAGUAGACAUCGAAAUGGUCACCGGUUAUCGUCACGUUCGUUAAUCUACGCGGUGGUUCGAAGCCCAACUUUGUAUACCCCCUUCGAGAAUAAAUAACAAAAGUCUCUCCGCGAAGUCAGUUUUUUUUAAUAUUAUUUUUCAUGCUGAAUAGUUUCGAACAUGAAAAUCGCAAUUUGAUAAAUUUCUUGUCAAAGAUUUCAAACAGAGACAGAAUGAAAAUUGCGUAUUUAAGCAUGAUUUUCCGCCGUGAUGUAUUUUUUUCUAUAUACAGGUAUCUGUUUUGCACAGAAUUAUUAACAAGUCA